UACAGAGGUCCCAAGCGUUGUUCGGAUUCAUUGGGCGUAAAGGGUGCGUAGGUGGCGCCGUAAGUGGGGUGUGAAAUUUCGGAGCUUAACUCCGAAACUGCAUUCCAUACUGCGGUGCUUGAGGACUGGAGAGGAGACUGGAAUUUACGGUGUAGCGGUGAAAUGCGUAGAUAUCGUAAGGAAGACCAGUGGCGAAGGCGGGUCUCUGGACAGGUCCUGACGCUGAGGCACGAAAGCUAGGGGAGCAAACAGG
rnacentral:rRNA from 1 species